UACAGAGGUCUCAAGCGUUGUUCGGAUUCAUUGGGCGUAAAGGGUGCGUAGGUGGCGGGGUAAGUCAGGUGUGAAAUCUCGGAGCUCAACUCCGAAACUGCACUUGAUACUGCCUUGCUCGAGUACUGGAGAGGAGAUUGGAAUUUACGGUGUAGCAGUGAAAUGCGUAGAUAUCGUAAGGAAGACCAGUGGCGAAGGCGAAUCUCUGGACAGUUACUGACACUGAGGCACGAAGGCCAGGGGAGCAAACGGG
rnacentral:rRNA from 1 species